rnacentral:rRNA from 1 species
AGAAUCAACGCUGGCGGCGUGCCUAACACAUGCAAGUCGCACGAGAAAGGGACUUCGGUCCUGAGUACAGUGGCGCACGGGUGAGUAACACGUGAAUAAUCUACCUCCGAGUGGGGAAUAACUGAGAGAAAUCUUAGCUAAUACCGCAUAACACUUACGAGUCAAAGCAGCAAUGCGCUUGGAGAGGAGUUCGCGGCCGAUUAGCUAGUUGGCGGGUAAUGGCCCACCAAGGCGAUGAU